rnacentral:rRNA from 1 species
UACGUAGGGUGCGAGCGUUAAUCGGAAUUACUGGGCGUAAAGUGUGCGCAGGCGGCCGCGCAAGUCGAGUGUGAAAUCCCCGAGCUUAACUUGGGAAUUGCGCUCGAAACUACGUGGCUGGAGUGUGGCAGAGGAAGGUGGAAUUCCACGUGUAGCGGUGAAAUGCGUAGAGAUGUGGAGGAACACCGAUGGCGAAGGCAGCCUUCUGGGCCAACACUGACGCUCAUGCACGAAAGCGUGGGGAGCAAACGGG